rnacentral:rRNA from 1 species
UACGUGAGGCAGCGAGCGUUUGUUCGGAGUUACUGGGCGUAAAGAGUGCGUAGGCGGUUUUCUAAGUUUGGUGUGAAAUCUCCCGGCCUCAACUGGGAGGGUGCGCCGAAGACUGGAAGGCUUGAGUAUGGGGAGAGGUAAGCGGAAUUCCUGGUGUAGCGGUGAAAUGCGUAGAUAUCAGGAGGAACACCUGCGGUGUAGACGGCUUACUGGACCAUAACUGACGCUGAGGCACGAAAGCGUGGGGAGCAAACAGG